GACGAACGCUGGCGGCGUGCUUAACACAUGCAAGUCGAACGGAAAGGCCCUGCUUUUGUGGGGUGCUCGAGUGGCGAACGGGUGAGUAACACGUGAGUAACCUGCCCUUUACUUUGGGAUAACUUCAGGAAACUGGGGCUAAUACCGGAUAGGAGCUCCUGCUGCAUGGUGGGGGUUGGAAAGUUUCGGCGGUUGGGGAUGGACUCGCGGCUUAUCAGCUUGUUGGUGGGGUAGUGGCUUACCAAGGCUUUGACGGGUAGCCGGCCUGAGAGGGUGACCGGCCACAUUGGGACUGAGAUACGGCCCAGACUCCUACGGGAGGCAGCAGUGGGGAAUAGUGCACAAUGGGCGGAAGCCUGAUGCAGCAACGCCGCGUGCGGGAUGACGGCCUUCGGGUUGUAAACCGCUUUCGCCUGUGACGAAGCGUGAGUGACGGUAAUGGGUAAAGAAGCACCGGCUAACUACGUG
rnacentral:rRNA from 1 species